GCUCCUCCUUUAGUCCCCUGUCCUGUGGUUCUGAUCAUGUCCUGUUUGUCCUACCCCAGGCGAUGACAGUGCCAAUGGGUCUGAUUCUUCCUUAAUGCCUCCUAAAGUGUGACACCAGCUGCCCCUGGGGGACUGAGCGAUGCAAGAUUUGUCCCCACUCCCACCUGGUGACAUCAGGAGCCCCUGACUUCUCUUUCUGCAGGUGGUGUCACAACGUGUCUGUGUUCCUAUCAGCAUAUCGUGAGGACACAGUAGACUGGCCCACCCUGCCCACCAUGACCCCUCCCCAUACUGAUCCUGUUCCCUUUCUGUCCGCUUUCCUGUUCCUGCAGAGACAGGGCUGGACUGUCUCCAUCCCCGUCUAUAUUUCAUGUUGGGCAGAGUUUGAUGCAUUACUUUCCUACUGAAAAUGAGAAUCCAGAUAUCAAUCUGUGUUUUGUAAUUCUAGGUAUGUGGGGGUGAUGAGGUAAUAAAAAUGAAGAUUUGUAAAGUUGUGACAGUAAAUAAAGCACUGAGAACCUUCCAGAACCAGUGUGUUUGCUGUGCUGAGUCUGUUGCGGGAGCUGUGAUGACAGACUUGAACGUCACCUGUCACCAGGACUGUGUCAAGCAAGAGCUUCCUGUGACUGGGUCAGCCCAGGCUCCAUCCUGGAUCGUGCCCUCAGCCCUAUCUUUUGGGUGUUUUUUCCCCUUGUUUCUGUAACACAUCAGGCCAGUACUUGCUCUUGUGUA